rnacentral:rRNA from 1 species
UACGAAGGGGGCUAGCGUUGCUCGGAAUGACUGGGCGUAAAGGGCGCGUAGGCGGAUGGCACAGUCAGAUGUGAAAUUCCUGGGCUUAACCUGGGGGCUGCAUUUGAGACGUGUGAUCUGGAGUGAGGAAGAGGGUUGUGGAAUUCCCAGUGUAGAGGUGAAAUUCGUAGAUAUUGGGAAGAACACCGGUGGCGAAGGCGGCGCUCUGGACCGAGACUGACGCUGAGGCGCGAAAGCGUGGGGAGCAAACAGG